rnacentral:rRNA from 1 species
ACUCAAAUGAAUUGACGGGGGUCCGCACAAGCGGUGGAGUAUGUGGUUUAAUUCGAUGAUACGCGAGGAACCUUACCUGGGCUAGAAUGCUAUUUGACAGGUCCUGAAAGGGAUUUUUUCGCAAGAACAGAUAGUAAGGUGCUGCAUGGCCGUCGUCAGCUCGUGCCGUGAGGUGUUGGGUUAAGUCCCGCAACGAGCGCAACCCCUAUCUUCAGUUGCCAGCACGUAAUGGUGGGAACUCUGGAGAAACUGCCGUCGUAAGACGCGAGGAAGGAGGGGAUGAUGUCAGGUCAUCAUGGCCUUUAUGCCCAGGGCUACACACGUACUACAAUGGGGGAGACAAAGGGCUGCUACCUGGCGACAGGAUGCUAAUCUCAAAAACUCCCUCUCAGUUCAGAUUGGAGUCUGCAACUCGACUCCAUGAAGCUGGAAUCGCUAGUAAUCGUAGAUCAGCAAUGCUACGGUGAAUACGUUCCCGGACCUUGCACACACCGCCCGU